rnacentral:rRNA from 1 species
UACGUAGGGUGCAAGCGUUGUCCGGAAUCAUUGGGCGUAAAGAGCGUGUAGGCGGCUCGAUAAGUCCGCUCUGAAAGCCCGGGGCUCAACCCCGGGAGGCGGGCGGAUACUGUCGAGCUAGAGUCCGGAAGAGGCGAGUGGAAUUCCUGGUGUAGCGGUGAAAUGCGCAGAUAUCAGGAGGAACACCAAUGGCGAAGGCAGCUCGCUGGGACGGUACUGACGCUGAGGAGCGAAAGCGUGGGGAGCGAACAGG